rnacentral:rRNA from 1 species
GACGAACGCUGGCGGCGUGCUUAACACAUGCAAGUCGAACGGAAAGGCUCCAGCUUGCUGGAGUCCUCGAGUGGCGAACGGGUGAGUAACACGUGGGUAAUCUGCCCUGCACUCUGGGAUAAGCCUGGGAAACUGGGUCUAAUACUGGAUAUGACCUUUCUCCUUAUGGGGUUUGGUGGAAAGUUUUUCGGUGUAGGAUGAGCCCGCGGCCUAUCAGCUUGUUGGUGGGGUGAUGGCCUACCAAGGCGACGACGGGUAGCCGGCCUGAGAGGGUGAACGGCCACAAUGGGACUGAGAUACGGACCAGACUCCUACGGGAGGCAGCAGUGGGGAAUAUUGCACAAUGGGCGGAAGCCUGAUGCAGCGACGCCGCGUGAGGGAUGACGGCCUUCGGGUUGUAAACCUCUUUCAGCAGGGACGAAGCGCAAGUGACGGUACCUGCAGAAGAAGCACCGGCUAACUAUGUG